rnacentral:rRNA from 1 species
GACAUAUGAUGCAAGCGUUAUCCGGAAUGAUUGGGCGUAAAGCGUCUGUAGGUUGUUUAAAAAGUCAACUGUCAAAAACUAAAGCUCAACUUUAGGCAGGCAGUUGAAACUUUUAGACUAGAGUAUGGCAGAGGUAGAGGGAAUUACUGGUGUAACGGUGAAAUGUGCAGAUAUCAGUAAGAACACCAAUGGCGAAAGCACUCUACUGGACCAAAACUGACACUCAGAGACGAAAGCUAGGGGAGCGAAUAGG